rnacentral:rRNA from 1 species
UGCGAUCAUACCAGUACUAAUGCACCGGAUCCCAUCAGAACUCCGCAGUUAAGCGUGCUUGGGCGAGAGUAGUACUAGGAUGGGUGACCCCCUGGGAAGUCCUCGUGUUGCA